GGCUUAACACAUGCAAGUCGAGGGGCAGCAUGGUCUUAGCUUGCUAAGACUGAUGGCGACCGGCGCACGGGUGAGUAACGCGUAUCCAACCUGGCCCUUAGUAGGGAACAGCCCGGCGAAAGUCGGAUUAAUGCCCUAUGUUUUCCAAUGAUGGCAUCUGACUUGGAACAAAGAUUCAUCGCUAAGGGAUGGGGAUGCGUCUGAUUAGCUUGUCGGCGGGGUAACGGCCCACCGAGGCGACGAUCAGUAGGGGUUCUGAGAGGAAGGUCCCCCACAUUGGUACUGAGACACGGACCAAACUCCUACGGGAGGCAGCAGUGAGGAAUAUUGGUCAAUGGGCGCGAGCCUGAACCAGCCAAGUAGCGUGCAGGAUGACUGCCCUAUGGGUUGUAAACUGCUUUUAUGCGGGAAUAAAGUCAGGUACGCGUACCUGUUUGUAUGUACCGCAUGAAUAAGGACCGGCUAAUUCCGUGCCAGCAGCCGCGGUAAUACGGAAGGUCCGGGCGUUAUCCGGAUUUAUUGGGUUUAAAGGGAGCGCAGGCGGGUGGUUAAGCGUGCUGUGAAAUGUACCGGCUCAACCGGUGACGUGCAGCGCGAACUGGCUAUCUUGAGUGGGUACGACGUCAGCGGAAUUCGUGGUGUAGCGGUGAAAUGCUUAGAUAUCACGAAGAACUCCGAUUGCGAAGGCAGCUGUCGAGUCCCUUACUGACGCUAAAGCUCGAAGGUGCGGGUAUCGAACAGGAUUAGAUACCCUGGUAGUCCGCACGGUAAACGAUGGAUGCCCGCUGUCUGCGAUACACUGUGGCGGCCAAGAGAAAUCGUUAAGCAUCCCACCUGGGGAGUACGCCGGCAACGGUGAAACUCAAAGGAUUUGACGGGGGCCCGCACAAGCGGAGGAACAUGUGGUUAAAUUCGAUGAUACGCGAGGAACUUUACCCGGGCUUGAACUGCACAGGAGGAUACAGAGAUGUUGACGCCCUUCGGGGCCUGUGUGGAGGUGCUGCAUGGUUGUCGUCAGCUCGUGCCGUGAGGUGUCGGCUAACUGCCAUAACGACGGCAACCCUUUUCGUCAGUUGCCAUCAGUGAUGCUGGCACU
rnacentral:rRNA from 1 species